UACGUAGGGUGCAGGCGUUAAUCGGAAUUACUGGGCGUAAAGCGUGCGCAGGCGGUUUGUUAAGACAGGUGUGAAAUCCCCGGGCUUAACCUGGGAAUUGCGCUUGUAACUGGCAGACUGGAGUGUGGCAGAGGGGGGUGGAAUUCCAAGUGUAGCAGUGAAAUGCGUAGAUAUUUGGAGGAACACCGAUGGCGAAGGCAGCCCCCUGGGCUAACACUGACGCUCAUGCACGAAAGCGUGGGGAGCAAACAGG
rnacentral:rRNA from 2 species